UCUCCUACGGGAGGCAGCAGUAGGGAAUCUUCGGCAAUGGGGGCAACCCUGACCGAGCAACGCCGCGUGAGUGAAGAAGGUUUUCGGAUCGUAAAGCUCUGUUGUAAGUCAAGAACGGGUGUGAGAGUGGAAAAUUCACACUGUGACGGUAGCUUACCAGAAAGGGACGGCUAACUACGUGCCAGCAGCCGCGGUAAUACGUAGGUCCCGAGCGUUGUCCGGAUUUAUUGGGCGUAAAGCGAGCGCAGGCGGUUUGAUAAGUCUGAAGUUAAAGGACUGUGGCUCAACCAUAGUUCGCUUUGGAAACUGUCAAACCUUGAGUGCAGAAGGGAGAU
rnacentral:rRNA from 1 species